AAGUGGAGCAAUCCAUGAGUACAGUGGCGUACGGGUGAGUAACACGUGACUACCUACCCUCGAGUGGGGAAUAACCUCGGGAAACCGGGGCUAAUACCGCAUAACAUCUACGGAUCAAAUGCGAAAGCAGCUUGAGGAGGGGGUCGCGGCCGAUUAGCUAGUUGGUGAGGUAAUGGCCCACCAAGGCAAUGAUCGGUAGCCGGCCUGAGAGGGCGCACGGACACACUGGAACUGAAACACGGUCCAGACUCCUACGGGAGGCAGCAGUGGGGAAUUUUGCGCAAUGGGGGAAACCCUGACGCAGCAACGCCGCGUGGAGGAUGAAGUCCCUUGGG
rnacentral:rRNA from 1 species